UUUGAUGGCGACCGGCGCACGGGUGAGUAACACGUAUCCAACCUGCCGAUGACUCGGGGAUAGCCUUUCGAAAGAAAGAUUAAUACCCGAUGGCAUAGUUCUUCCGCAUGGUAGAACUAUUAAAGAAUUUCGGUCAUCGAUGGGGAUGCGUUCCAUUAGGUUGUUGGCGGGUAACGGCCCACCAAGCCUUCGAUGGAUAGGGGUUCUGAGAGGAAGGUCCCCCACAUUGGAACUGAGACACGGUCCAAACUCCUACGGAGGCAGCAUG
rnacentral:rRNA from 1 species